rnacentral:rRNA from 1 species
UACGGGGGGGGGCAAGCGUUGUUCGGAAUUACUGGGCGUAAAGGGCUCGUAGGCGGCCAACUAAGUCAGACGUGAAAUCCCUCGGCUUAACCGGGGAACUGCGUCUGAUACUGGUUGGCUUGAAUCCGGGAGAGGGAUGUGGAAUUCCAGGUGUAGCGGUGAAAUGCGUAGAGAUCUGGAGGAACACCGAUGGCGAAGGCAGCCCCCUGGGCUAACACUGACGCUCAUGCACGAAAGCGUGGGG